rnacentral:rRNA from 1 species
UACGUAGGGUGCGAGCGUUAAUCGGAAUUACUGGGCGUAAAGCGGGCGCAGACGGUUUGUUAAGCAGGAUGUGAAAUCCCCGGGCUCAACCCGGGAACUGCGUUCUGAACUGGCAGGCUAGAGUGUGUCAGAGGGGGGUAGAAUUCCACGUGUAGCAGUGAAAUGCGUAGAGAUGUGGAGGAAUACCGAUGGCGAAGGCAGCCCCCUGGGAUAACACUGACGUUCAUGCCCGAAAGCGUGGGUAGCAAACAGG